AGUGAAAAUGCGGGAAUCGAACCCGGGUCGUAGCGGUCGAAAACCAACAGUUUAGACCAUCCUUCCACCAACCCCCC
rnacentral:tRNA from 1 species